rnacentral:misc_RNA from 1 species
GCAAAUCUCAGCGGUUCACCACAGAUCUUGAGAUAGUGACGUAUAAAUUGUUCCGAUCACACAGAAAACGCAAAUCUCCACAGAUCGGCACAGAUCUCCUGAGAUUCCGUUCAUCUCCAUGAUCUUGAGAGAAAUCUCGAAGGAGAACGACGAUCACUUCCAAUCUUGCGGCAACCUCACAUACAACAACACAGAUCUAAUCACUCACGCGGCGCCGCCGCCACCGACACCGCCUGCUCGUCAAUCACGCGCCACCGCCGCCACCACCCCCUGCUGGUCACAUAUAUGAUCAUUGACGAACCGCCGCUGCAACUGAUCGC